rnacentral:pre_miRNA from 1 species
AAAAAGACAAACCCUAGGUUUCCAUGUCCAACGUUUGACUGUCUGUCUUAUAUGAUUUUUUUUAUAAUUAGUAUUUUCAUUGUUGUUAGAUGAUAAAACAUGAUUAAUAUUUUAUGCGUGACUUAUCUUUUUAUUUUUUUCAUAAUUUUUUCAAAUAAGAUGGACGGUUAAACGUUGGACACGGAAACCUAGGGUUUGUCUUUUU